CAAACAGAGACUGUUUGACUUCCUCGCUUCCUAUUUGGAUGCCCUUUAUUUCUUUCUCUUCUUAAUUGCCCUUGCCAGGUCUUCCAGCACUAUGAUGAAUAGGUGUGGUGAGCGGGGGCAUCCUUGUCUUGUGCCAGUUUUGAAGGAGAAUGCUUCCAGCUUUUGCCCAUUCAGUAUGAUGCCAGUUGUGGAUUUGUCUUAUACGGUUCUUACUAUUUUGAGGCAGUGUUGGUCUGCAAGCUUCAAGAGCCAGUGACCCUGACUGCCAAGUGAUUUGCCGAAGGGAAUUAUGGUUUUGCAUUUGAUGGUUUCCAGGAACUGCUAAGAGUGAGAUCAUCCCUGAAGCAGUGACUGCCAGAGGAAGGCGAGAGACAUAUGGUGGCCUUACAGGUAAUUCCAGUCAAGAUUCCAGGUCUCAGAGUGCAGACGGCACCUCAGCAGGGUCCUUGUGCUGCUGCAAAACAUGCUGGCGAAGUCCCAUGAUGCCAGCCGACCUGACAAGAAGCUUCAGAAGACAGCAGGAGAAGAACAUGUCUCAGAGAGCUCCUACUCCUCCAGUUUUGGCCCCAGAAUGAAACACAGGAAGAAGACCUGAAUUUGAUUUGCAUUUCAAAGUAGAACUGUCCCAGCUGACAUGAAGACUGAUGAAUAAGGAAUAAGUAUUUAUUGUUGUAUGUCACUGAUAUUUCUGUGGUCGAUUAUGUGUAGAAGAGCUGACUUGUACACUUACAUAAACUUGAAGAAGACUGAAUUUAGAAAUGGAGUUUCUGCAUAUGGUUAUGUCUGAGUAGCUCCAAGUGGAUCAUCCCUCCCACAGAUAACAACUCUAAACUCUGGACAAAAUAUAAAAAUAACAAUUUCCUGAAUAUCAAAGAGCAACCCAAAUCAUGCAGAUACUGGGUAAGUUUUAUAGGAAAUUUUUUAUAGCUUAAGACUAUGCAGCAGUCAGUAUCAUAUGGCAUGACUAAAACCUACAUAGGGAGAAAUGGUGUAGAGUAUGAAAAGCAACUACCACAGCUAAAAGGUGAGGAGGAAUAUCCAAGAAGGAGAGAGCUAAAGAGAGGCUCCUGGUUUUUGUGGAUACAUGCCACCCAAAUCUAUGGUUCAUCCCUGAACCAGAGUAUGCACAGUAAAUUUUAUUACAAUUUCACCUAGGAAUAAAAUAAUUGAACUGAAAUUUCAUAGUUGAGGGUUUGAGAAUGGCUAAGUUAACUACUUGCUAUUAUCAAAAAUCAAUACUCUUCAAAGAACAUAAAGGAAUCCAGAGUCUCUAAAACAUAUAAUUCAUAAAGUCCUAGAUAGAACACAUGAAAAAAAUCACAAUCUCACAUGGAAACUGGAAAAUAUGAUCCAAUAUCAAGAGAAAAUGUAAUCAUUGGAGACUGACCCAGAUAUUGGAAUAAGCAGAUAAGAAUAUUAAAGCAGCCAUAUAACUAAUGAUUCCCAGGUACAUGAAGUAAAAUAUGCUAAUAAUACAUUAAAAAUAGGAAACCUCAGUAAAGAAAUAAAAUCUUUUUAAAAGAACCAAUGAAGGCCGGG
rnacentral:lncRNA from 10 species